AUUGAACGCUGGCGGCAGGCCUAACACAUGCAAGUCGAACGAGUGGCGGACGGGUGAGUAAUGUCUGGGAAACUGCCUGAUGGAGGGGGAUAACUACUGGAAACGGUCGCUAAUACCGCCUACCAUCAGCUGUGCCCAGGUGGGAUUAGCUAGUUGGUGGGGUACCGGCUCACCAAGGCGACGAUCCCUAACUGGUCUGAGAGGAUGACCUGCCACACUGGAACUGAGACACGGUCCAGACUCCUACGGGAGGCAGCAGUGGGGAAUAUUGGACAAUGGGCGCAAGCCUGAUGCAGCCAUGCCGCGUGUAUGAAGAAGGCCUUCGGGUUGUAAAGUACUUUCAGCGGGGAGGCGUUACCCACAGAAGAAGCACCGGCUAACUCCGUGCCAGCAGCCGCGGUAAUUC
rnacentral:rRNA from 1 species